GGUUAAGUAACUAAGGGCAUGCGGUGAAUGCCUAGGCGCCGGGAGCCGAAGAAGGACGCGGUAAGCUGCGAAAAGCUAC
rnacentral:rRNA from 1 species